GUCGGGGUAGCUCAGACGGUUAGAGCGUAGGACUCAUAAACCUAAGGUCGUGGGUUCGAUUCCCACCCCCGGCA
rnacentral:tRNA from 1 species